UCUUUUGUGAAAUAUCAAGGAAGUUUUAAGUGAAUUUUGGAGCCUGAUGUUAAUAGAUCAUGCAUGCACUAACCAUUUUUAAAUGGAUUCUUAUUACUUAUUUUAAUUGUUUGGAGAAUAAUAAUCUGCAGGACCUAAGAAGAUGAGGCGCUGACUACAAAGUGAUGUCUUUUCUGCAAGGAAUGGGCCUGCGUAAACGCGGAGAGGAGUAUCGUGAGGAGUGCGAGCAUGCCGUAAACCUCGCAUGUUUGUUGUUAUUGUUUAUAGCUCAAUUGUGUGUCCUGUUUUACGGUUUGUUUUUUUUUAAGUUUUACUAGUGUGUUAGCAGAGUUUGUCGUCUUUGUGCUGUCUUUAUUCUUUGGU